CCCUACGGGAGGCAGCAGUGGGAGAUAUUGGACAAUGGGGGGAACCCUGAUCCAGCGACGCCGCGUGAGUGAAGAAGUAUUUCGGUAUGUAAAGCUCUGUCAGCAGGGAAGAAAGCAAUGACGGUACCUGACCAAGAAGCCCCGGCUAACUACGUGCCAGCAGCCGCGGUAAUACGUAGGGGGCAAGCGUUAUCCGGAAUUACUGGGUGUAAAGGGAGCGUAGACGGCUGUGCAAGUCUGGAGUGAGAGGCGGGGGGCCAACACCCGGACUGGCCUGGAGACUGUAUGGGUGGAGGGCGGGGGGG
rnacentral:rRNA from 1 species